rnacentral:rRNA from 1 species
UACGUAGGUGGCAAGCGUUGUCCGGAUUUACUGGGCGUAAAGAGCGCGCAGGCGGUCGUUCAAGUCGCGUGUGAAAGCCUCCGGCUCAACUGGGGAGGGUCACGCGAUACUGAUCGACUGGAAGGCAGGAGAGGGUAGUGGAAUUCCCGGUGUAGUGGUGAAAUGCGUAGAUAUCGGGAGGAACACCAGAGGCGAAGGCGACUACCUGGACAAUAGCGUGACACUCAGGCACGAAAGCGUGGGGAGCCAAAGGG